rfam:Pteropus alecto contig168638, whole genome shotgun sequence.
GUGCUCGUUUUGGCAGCACAUAUAAUAAAAUCGGAACAAUAUAGAGAAGAUUAGCAUGGUACCUGAACAAGGAUGACACGCAAAUUCAUGACGCAUUCCAUAUUUUU